rnacentral:rRNA from 1 species
CUGGUUGAUCCCGCCGGAGGGUACUGCUAUCAGAGUACGACUAAGCCAUGCAAGUCAGCUCGCCCAGGCGCGGCACACGGCUCAGUAGCACGUAGUCAAUCUACCCUGAGGACGGGGAUACCCACGCGAAAGUGUGGUUAACCCCCGAUGGGCCACGGGAGGUGGAAUCCCCCAUGGCCGAAAGGGCCGCGACCGCCGGAUGGGACUGCGGCCGAUUAGGUAGUUGGUGAGGUAACGGCUCACCAAGCCGAUAAUCGGUGGGGGCAAUGGGAGUUGGAGCCCCGAGAAGGGCACUGAGACAAGGGCCCUAGUCCUACGGGAUGCAGCAGGCGCGAAACCUUCGCAAUGCGCGAAAGCGUGACGAGGGAACUCUGAGUGCCGACUCUGUGCUCGGCUUUUAGCGAGCCCAAAAAGCUCGCUGAAUAAGGGUUGGGUAAGACCGGUGCCAGCCGCCGCGGUAACACCGGCAACCCAAGUGGUAUCCACGAAUAUUGGGUCUAAAGAGUCCGUAGCUGGCCUGUUAAGUUCUCUGUGAAAUAGCGGGGCUCAACCUGCUGCGCGCAGGGAAUACUGGCAGGCUUGGGAGCGGGGGAGGUCGAGAGUACUUACGGGGUAGGGGUAAAAUCCGUUAAUCCUGUAAGGACUACCAGUGGCGAAGGCGCUCGACCAAAACGCGUCCGACAGUGAGGGACGAAGGCUAGGAGAACGAAUCGGAUUAGAUACCCGAGUAGCCCUAGCAGUAAAUGAUGCAGACUAGGUGUUGCACCGGCUUCGAGCCGAUGCAGUGCCGUAGCGUACGUGUUAAGUCUGCCACCUGGGGAGUACGGUCGCAAGGCUGAAACUUAAAGGAAUUGGCGGGGGAGCACCACAAGAGGUGGAUGCUGCGGUUCAAAUGGAGUCAACGCC